rnacentral:rRNA from 1 species
GAACGCCGGCGGCAUGCUUUACACAUGCAAGUCGAACGGCAGCACAGGGAGCUUGCUCCCGGGUGGCGAGUGGCGCACGGGUGAGUAAUACAUCGGAACGUGUCCUGUUGUGGGGGAUAACUGCUCGAAAGGGUGGCUAAUACCGCAUGAGACCUGAGGGUGAAAGCGGGGGAUCGCAAGACCUCGCGCAAUUGGAGCGGCCGAUGCCCGAUUAGCUAGUUGGUGAGGUAAAGGCUCACCAAGGCGACGAUCGGUAGCUGGUCUGAGAGGACGACCAGCCACACUGGGACUGAGACACGGCCCAGACUCCUACGGGAGGCAGCAGUGGGGAAUUUUGGACAAUGGGGGCAACCCUGAUCCAGCCAUGCCGCGUGCAGGAUGAAGGCCUUCGGGUUGUAAACUGCUUUUGUCAGGGACGAAAAGGAUCGUGAUAAUACCAUGGUCUGCUGACGGUACCUGAAGAAUAAGCACCGGCUAACUACGUG